ACGCUCGACACCUAGAGGCAGCAGUGGGGAAUAUUGCACAAUGGGGGAAACCCUGAUGCAGCGACGCCGCGUGAGUGAAGAAGUAUUUCGGUAUGUAAAGCUCUAUCAGCAGGGAAGAAAAUGACGGUACCUGACUAAGAAGCCCCGGCUAACUACGUGCUAGCAGCCGCGGUAAUCUGAGCGGGCUGGCAAGGC
rnacentral:rRNA from 1 species